rnacentral:rRNA from 1 species
GACGAACGCUGGCGGCGUGCUUAACACAUGCAAGUCGAACGAGAGCGUAGAGAAAGCUUGCUUUUUCUACAAUCUAGUGGCAAACGGGUGAGUAACGCGUAAACAACCUGCCCUACGGAUGGGGACAACAGCUGGAAACGGCUGCUAAUACCGAAUACGUUCCGAAAGUCGCAUGACUAUCGGAAGAAAGGAUGGCCUCUAUUUAUAAGCUAUCGCCGGAGGAGGGGUUUGCGUCUGAUUAGCUAGUUGGAGGGGUAACGGCCCACCAAGGCGACGAUCAGUAGCCGGUCUGAGAGGAUGAACGGCCACAUUGGAACUGAGACACGGUCCAGACUCCCACGGGAGGCAGCAGGGGGGAAUCUUCCGCAAUGGGCGAAAGCCUGACGGAGCAACGCCGCGUGAGUGAAGACGGCCUUCGGGUUGUAAAGCUCUGUUAUACGGGACGAAUAAUCUUGUGGUUAAUACCCAUGAGAAGUGACGGUACCGUAAGAGAAAGCCACGGCUAACUACGUG